GACGAACGCUGGCGGCGUGCCUAAUACAUGCAAGUAGAACGCUGAGGACUGGUGCUUGCACUGGUCUAAGGAGUUGCGAACGGGUGAGUAACGCGUAGGUAACCUACCUCAUAGCGGGGGAUAACUAUUGGAAACGAUAGCUAAUACCGCAUGACAAUAGGGUACACAUGUACCCUAUUUAAAAGGGGCAAAUGCUUCACUAUGAGAUGGACCUGCGUUGUAUUAGCUAGUUGGUAAGGUAACGGCUUACCAAGGCGACGAUACAUAGGGGGACUGAGAGGUUAACCCCCCACAUUGGUACUGAGACACGGACCAA
rnacentral:rRNA from 1 species